GAUGAACGCUAGCUACAGGCUUAACACAUGCAAGUCGAGGGGCAGCAUGAACAUAGCUUGCUAUGUUUGAUGGCGACCGGCGCACGGGUGCGUAACACGUAUCCAAUCUGCCCGUCACUCGGGGAUAGCCUUCUGAAAGGAAGAUUAAUACCCGAUGGCAUGCAUUUCCGGCAUCGGAGAUGCAUUAAAGAUUUAUCGGUGACGGAUGAGGAUGCGUACGAUUAGCUGGUUGGCGGGGUAACGGCUCACCAUGGCUACGAUGUCUAGGGGAACUGAGAGGUUUAUCCCCCACACUGGUACUGAGACACGGACCAGACUCCUACGGGAGGCAGCAGUGAGGAAUAUGGGACAAUGGAUGGAAAUCUGAUCCAGCCAUGCCGCGUGCAGGAUGACGGCCCUAUGGGUCUUAAACUGCUUUUGUAUGGGAGCAAUAAGUUCUACGUGUAGGAUGAUGAGAGUACC
rnacentral:rRNA from 1 species